rnacentral:rRNA from 1 species
GACGGGGGAUGCAAGCGUUAUCCGGAAUCACUGGGCGUAAAGCGUCUGUAGGUGGUGAUGCAAGUCACUGGUGCAAAACUCUGGCUCAACCGGAGGAAAGCCAGUGAAACUGCAUGACUAGAGUGUGGGAGAGGUAGAAGGAAUUCCCUGAGUAGCGGUGAAAUGCGUAGAUACAGGGAAGAACACCGGAGGCGAAAGCGGUCUACGGGAACACAACUGACACUGAGAGACGAAAGCUUGGGGAGCGAAUGGG